GCAAAAAGGAAAGAAAACUCAUUAUGAAGCUUCACUUAUGAUUCUACCAUUAUGCCAAAAUUACAAGCAACUCCAACUCCUUGCCUCCACCCUUCAAGGCUGAUGCAACUCUCCACAUCUGGCUCUGUCCUGCUACCAGAGACUACAAAGGACUUCUAAAGGCCUGUUAAACACCACAGAAUCUGGCCCAGCUCC